UUGAAAACAUUAUACAGGCAUUACAUUGCCACAGCCAGUCCAUAGGGGAGCAUGCAAAUAUCAAAAAUGGAGAGUUUGUUCAACUUAUCGGUGUCAAUUUCCUUUUUGGUUCAUAUUUUCCAUUUGCAGUGUCUGGAUUAGUGUGCUUUGUUACGUGGCUUGACAGUAGAAUCCUACCCAUGGGGUAAAAUCUGUACUGGUAGCUAGCUGGGGACUACUAAACGGUUACAAAUCAAAAACAAACCCAAAACAAACAGUACUACACGCUUGUCAAAAGGUUAAUAGCACAAGUUAGCAAUACCUAAACUAAACAUUGAAACAUUUUCAUGGGACACAGUGGUGCAAAUUUUUCCAUUGCUUGUUCUACCUGGUUGUGUAUUUCAGAGCUCGGAGCUGUGGGAAAGUGUGACCAAGGCGAGCAGUAUCCCCAGUGCAAGUUGUCAUUGAGUGAGGACCGCCACUUAGGAGAGCUAAGGGUCAAUCUGGAAUUCCUGAUCUCAGACAAUUCAGUACGUUAUCAGCCUUUCUAAAUGGAGAAGAACCAACACAGUGAGCUACCCCAGUGACAUGAAAAUCUUGUGUACAAGGACAUUGGAUGGUAAAGGGUAUACAGUGAAUUCACCUUAACAUUCACACUUGGUUUCCAUACAGUGGAGUCAAUUAAAAUAUCCUAGAAAAUAAUUCAGAUGGCAACUUGUAGCCGUCCACUGAUUUGCAAACCCUUUUGAAAUUUAAAUUUGAAAAAAAUUCCCAGUCCACUGA